rnacentral:lncRNA from 1 species
UAUACCAACAAAAUAACUCAAAUAAUAAACCCAAAAGUAACAGCCCAUUUACAAACCCAAAAUCUGACCCAAAAUUUAAAUCCAAACAAAUCAAAACCUUAAAGCCCAAAUGGCCCAAAAUCUAAAACAUUUUUCAGCAAAAUUUCAGCAGCAAACCCCAGCUCUCCAUGCCACCAUGUCGGCCACCAUGCCCCUCAGCCUUGGCCACCACGCCCCACGUGUCUGACACUCCCACCAACUCCUCCAUGUGCGCCCACCUGUUGAUUUCCGUCACCUGCAGAAUAAGACAAAAAGAAAGCAAACACUAAGACAGAGGCAGACGGCAGGAAGCAAUGGCAAGAAAUUUAAAAUAUUGUAUUGAAAUGGCUAUAAAUGCCAGAUCUGAAUGUAAUAGAAGGGGGGAUUUUUAUGUUUUUUUUUUGGAGAUUUCAAAGGGAAGAAUCGGUUGUAUUUUGGGGGACCCUUUUUUUUUUUCCUCUUCUCUCUUUCGAUUUCUUAACCAAAAGCAAACAAUUGAUAUCCGAAAUACUACGAUCUUAACAUCAAAAGGCAGAGAUUCGAACACCCAAAAAUCAGUAAAUCAACAAGUCAAAAAUCAGAACCGGAAACCUAAGGUGGUUGUGAAUCUAUUCUUGUUUUGUCUUUUGUUCUAUUUUCCCAUAUAUAUACUAAAAAAUAUAAAAAUAACAAUAUAAUAUAAACAUAAAAAAAUUAAAAAAAUUAAAAAAAAAAUAUUUUUUACCGCGGUGGCCGGCGCCGGCGCCGGCGAGCCUCCGGUGGCCGUCCGGUGACCGG